rnacentral:lncRNA from 1 species
GGGGCCCUGCCCGCCACCAGCCCGCAGCCAUGCAGAGCGCGACCCCCGCCGCCCCGCCGGCUCUGCACCUCCUUACCUCCUACUUCAUCGACAGCAUCCUGGGCGCGGGCCGGCACGGUGAGGGGCGGCAGGGCUGGCGGCGGGCCCGGCGGGGUGCUCCCCGCUCUCGCCCCGGUAACUCCCCGCUUCUCUCCCCUCAGGCGAGGAGCGCCCGGCGGAGGAGCCGGUGGGGACGGGGCGGGGGGGGCGCCCGGCCGGCGCGGAGGCGGCAGCGGGCAGCGAGGCGCCGGGUCCGGCCAAGAGGAAGCAGCGGCGGUACCGCACCACGUUCAGCACCUUCCAGCUGGAGGAGCUGGAGCGCGCCUUCCGCAAGUCCCACUACCCCGACGUGUUCACCAGAGAGGAGCUGGCCGUGCGGCUGGACUUGACGGAAGCCCGAGUGCAGGUCUGGUUCCAAAACAGAAGGGCAAAGUGGAGGAAACGUGAAAAAAAUGAAAUUCUGGGGACUGUUCCAGGAAUCUCCUUAACGCACCCACUUGGUCUAUUUUUGGAUGUUCCACUGAGUCAUUCUCCCCUCCUAGAUCACACGUGGAGGUCAAUGCCUCUUUCAACACUGGCUGUGCCAUCUGUGUCUCCAGCCUUUAGUCCUUCAACCUUAGGGCCAUUUGGCCUCAGCAGCCUUACCUGGACUUCUUUCUUCAGAAAUCCUAUUUUAAAUCCACAUUUUGGAAGGUUUCUGAAUGCUUUAAAUCCUCUCAUGACAACAGCUUCAGUACUAAUGAAAGCUCCUGGACCCCCGUCAGACCCUGCUCUUACUGCCUUCACUGAUCCAGCAGCAGUUGAAAGGAAAACGUCAAGCAUCGCGGCACUAAGACUCAAAGCGAAAGAACAUUCAGCACAAAUCCCUCAAUUAAACCUCAUCUCCAGUCUUACAAACACUAACAAAGAACUUUGUUAGGAGCUCUCCCAUAGUCUACAGCCACGCAGGAGGAAGUGAAUGCCUGCUCCAAUCAGUAGCUCACGGUAGACACACACAUUUGAAAAAAGAAAGAAAACACACACACGGAGACUACAGAAACACUGUAGUUUCUCCAUCUUCAGUAAUGGACUGAAAGGAAAUAACCCCACUAAAAAUUGGUUUCCUUUGUUACGACAUGAAAUCAGGUAGUAAAUUUGGCUUGUGGCAUUUCUAACAGUACAGAAAUAGCAGCAGGAACUAUGUCAUCUUUGUCAUUCAGGCUAACAUGAAUCUGAAGCUUUGAAAUCCCCAAACUCACCAGAUGCUAGUCCAAAGGUCCAAAAUUCUUUGUAGGAAUAAGCAGUUUUCUAAGCAAUUCUUAACUCAUUUCUCAGGAGGAACUCUUACAUGCAAUACUUGAGACGUAAGAAUCAGUACACAGUUACUAACUUUGAGACCAUGCUUCAUGUUGAAGUGCAAAUGCCAGUGAAAUUUUGCAUUUUAGACAGACUUAGCACGAAUGAGAUGGGGACUAUUUUCAGUCAGGCUUCUGAUUCAGAACUAGGUUUGUAUAAAGGGUACCUUACUUCAAACUAAAAUAAUAAUAAUGUUUGCUUUAUGUUCAGGGUGGCAAUGUUUUAAUAAUUAAAAAAGUUUAACCUUUGUAUAUGAAAACUGUAUCCUGUGAAAGUAGGUUCUCAAUGUGCAGUAAAUUCUGUGUAGUUCUUUAUCUAUGUAUAUAUGUCUCAAUAAGUAGCUCAUUGCUGUAAAUAGGAGGUUGCUGAAUGCUUUUAGCAUGGUUACUGGCACAUCUUACCAGAACAAUAAGUUAACAGAUUACUUGUGCAUUUCCAGACAUUCCAUGCUUUGAGUAGAUUCAGAAUUUAAGUGAAAACUAAACAUGACGUGUUAAAUUCUUCCUUGGACUGAUGUUGGAAUGUGUGAAAACAGAGGCCUUACUGAGCAUAAGUCCACAGUUCAGCAAACCCCUGCACUCCCUAUCUGGGCUCAGACAGGUCAUUUUAAAGUUUCUGCUGAAUUUCGCCAUCCAAGAAAUGAGCCUGAGAACAUCUCUCUCAUCUCCAGGUCUGACGCUUUAGUGUAAAGCGAGGGUAAGUACUAUACUCCUUUUGCAGCUUACUCACCUACCUCACAGGG